rnacentral:rRNA from 1 species
AGAGUUUGAUCCUGGCUCAGGAUGAACGCUGGCGGCAUGCCUAAUACAUGCAAGUCGAACGAGAGGAAGGAAAGCUUGCUUUCCUGAAUCUAGUGGCGAACGGGUGAGUAACACGUAGGUAACCUGCCCAUGUGCCCGGGAUAACUUCUGGAAACGGAUGCUAAAACCGGAUAGGUAGCAGACAAGCAUUUGACUGCUAUUAAAGUGGCCUUGGCCAUGAACAUGGAUGGACCUGCGGUGCAUUAGCUGGUUGGUGAGGUAACGGCCCACCAAGGCGACGAUGCAUAGCCGGCCUGAGAGGGCGGACGGCCACAUUGGGACUGAGACACGGCCCAAACUCCUACGGGAGGCAGCAGUAGGGAAUUUUCGUCAAUGGGGGGAACCCUGAACGAGCAAUGCCGCGUGAGUGAGGAAGGUCUUCGGAUCGUAAAGCUCUGUUGUAAGAGAAAAACGGCACUCAUAGGGAAUGAUGAGUGAGUGAUGGUAUCUUACCAGAAAGUCACGGCUAACUACGUGCCAGCAGCCGCGGUAAUACGUAGGUGGCGAGCGUUAUCCGGAAUGAUUGGGCGUAAAGGGUGCGUAGGUGGCAGAUCAAGUCUGGAGUAAAAGGUAUGGGCUCAACCCGUACUGGCUCUGGAAACUGAUCCGCUAGAGAACAGAAGAGGACGGCGGAACUCCAUGUGUAGCGGUAAAAUGCGUAGAUAUAUGGAAGAACACCGGUGGCGAAGGCGGCCGUCUGGUCUGGAUUCUGACACUGAAGCACGAAAGCGUGGGGAGCAAAUAGGAUUAGAUACCCUAGUAGUCCACGCCGUAAACGAUGAGAACUAGGUGUUGGGGGAAUAACUCAGUGCCGCAGUUAACGCAGUAAGUUCUCCGCCUGGGGAGUAUGCACGCAAGUGUGAAACUCAAAGGAAUUGACGGGGGCCCGCACAAGCGGUGGAGUAUGUGGUUUAAUU